CGCGGCGGGCUGACCUCUGCGGAGGCGGCGGGGGCCCAACAUCGGGCCGGGGCCGGGGGGGCGCCGGGGCCGGGGGGCGGCGCUCCGGCCCGGCCCGGCCCCGCCCGAUGUCCAUGAGCGCGAACACCAUGAUCUUCAUGAUUCUGGGGGCGUCGAUCGUGAUGGCCAUCGCGUGCUUGAUGGACAUGAACGCACUGCUGGACCGAUUCCACAACUACAUCCUCCCGCACCUGCGGGGCGAGGACCGCGUCUGCCACUGCAACUGUGGCCGGCACCACAUCCACUACGUAAUCCCUUACGACGGGGACCAGUCGGUGGUGGACGCCUCCGAGAACUACUUCGUGACAGACAACGUCACCAAGCAGGAGAUCGACCUCAUGCUGGGGCUGCUGCUCGGCUUCUGCAUCAGCUGGUUCCUGGUGUGGAUGGACGGCGUCCUGCACUGCGCCGUGCGCGCCUGGAGGGCCGGCCGGCGCUACGACGGCUCGUGGACCUGGCUGCCCAAGUUGUGCAGUCUGCGGGAGCUGGGCCGGCGGCCGCACAGGCCCUUCGAGGAGGCGGCCGGCAACAUGGUGCACGUGAAGCAGAAACUCUACCACAACGGCCACCCGAGCCCGCGGCACCUCUGAGCCGCGCGCAGGACUCGCGGGGCCUUCGGCCAACGCGCCCACGCACACGGGACUGGACGGCCGCCCCGGGCCAGGGCACCCGCCGGGCGUGUCCAGCAGAAGGAGGAGAAAACCGCGAGAAAACAAGCGUCUGAAAGGCAGAAAGGGGGCUGCCAUCAAAACUCCACCAUACUGGCACCCUCGUCCGGGCCUUCCUGCCUUCCGGACCUUGAGAAAUACACAUCUGUGUUUAAGCCCUCUGGGCUGUGGCACCGUCACAGCAGCCGAAGCUGACAGACAUCCUAUCCUCCACUCUGUCGGUUGUGGAAACGGAGCCACCCUCGUCGGGCCUGGGUCCUGAGUGAGGACGGCUGGAGCAGAACGCCUGGCUGCCCGAUCACACGUAGGAGCAGAGUCUACAGUCUGGAGCUGGGCAUAACCCGGCUCAUCCUCAUACAGGCUCCUGUGUAUCCAAGCUGCUAGGUUCAAGUCACAGUAGAUGUCUAUUUAAUUAACAUAAUACACAUCCAUUUAAAAGCACUGUCACAUUUCUAGCGAUCAGACUGUCACGCAGCCUCAGUCAGAUUUGACUGCGGGCCCCAUGGAGGCAGUGAUGGCGGCACAAAGCCAAGGGCGGCUGCAGACAGGAGCCACUGAGCACCCUGCACCCAAUAAAGCUUUUCUCCUCAGCAAUCACCAAGCUGCAAAUGCUUUCUAGACGGCUGCACCCAGGACCCCUGGGGGUCAAA